rnacentral:tRNA from 2 species
UGGGGUAUCGCCAAGCGGUAAGGCACCGGAUUAUGAUACCGGCAUUCCCAGGUUCGAAUCCUCGUACCCCAGCCA